rnacentral:lncRNA from 1 species
CAAAAAGAGAGAGAUAUUCCUUAAACAUAAAGCAGUUUUCCAGUGGAAUCGCUUCUCGUCUUCAGAGUAUCACCUGUUGCAUAAAUAUAUUGCUACAAAGGCACUGAAGUCAUGCUCCAUGGGCUGAAAAAAAGAUGUGGCUCACACCCACAUGUGACAGCUGCUGGAAACUGGAUAGCUGAGGUCCCCAUGGAAACUUCCAAGACAACUAUGAUGGUGGCCACUGGACUUUUGUCAAAAUUCACAUCCUUCUGUUUGUCAAACACCUGGACUGGUCUUGGCAUUGCAUCUUUUCCGUGGAGGUUGCUUUCCACUCCAAGUUACCUGGAUCACUUUGUA